rnacentral:lncRNA from 1 species
CAACGACCUUAUCUGUGACAACAGUAACACUAACAGCUAGGCAACUUCGGUGCUGGACACGGUUAUCUGUAGAAAUCCUGAAAUAUACAGAGUGUAUUACCAUAUGCUUGCUUCUUUGAGUAUGUGCCUGAAACAAGAAUGUCCUGGAGAAAAAGGACCACAACAAGAAAAGAGAUGGAGAGGAAGGGCUUGCUGUUGAGAGAUCAUGGGGUGCCUUGAGGUUCCACUUCCAGUCUUGAUGUUCUGCCCCUUACCUCUAAGCGAUGGCCUCUUGUGCCUGGCAAUAUAUGAGCGAAGCACAAUGGACUGGUGCCUGUACAUGUAAUGUAUUUCAUGCAAAUGAAGAGUAGAAUGAGAAGCUCACAAUGAUAUGGUAGACAAGGACCUUGCUGUCUAAAGCUCGGAGGCCAGAUGACAGUGUCUGAACCGGCUUGUCGGAAUUGCGUACAAGGAUGCCAUUGGACUUUUCUGUACUAGUAGCUGAAGGGGGGAGCAGUCACCAGAAGGAGCAUGCAACUCCAAAACAAUGUGGAUACUUCUACCGAGUUCAUCUCAAGAAUCAAGAUGUGACAGUGGAUGUACAUGUAGAGGGGUUUGUGACCCUCCUGACUGGACUACAUGCAAUACACAUCAAUGGAUUGUAGAGGAGUAAUGGUGGGUCCGGUGAGCUCAACUCUGGAGGUUAAGUUCGCAAAAUUAAUAAAUUUCCUUUUAAUAUGGGUGUAUAUGGUUCCAGGGAUUAAUUUGACGCAAUGCCUCGUAGUGACACGCCC